AGUGUUUGGUGGCCAGUGGAUGUGGAUGAAAGAAAUCUGUAAUCUAUGACAGAACUCAAGUCAGCUGAUUUCCGUCAUUCCGUCUGAGUUUGUUUUGUUUAAUGCAAAAAGUUAGAGUAUUUCGAGAUUUUUGUUUAUUCCCCGAAAAAGAAAUUGUUUGCUGUCGAACACAUGAUCCCAUGCCCAGAAGAAACAAGAAAGACUCAAAUGGCUUUCAAGUCUGGAUGGCUUUAAACAAUAAAUGCCACACAAAAGUUGUAGGGACCAGGGAUUCAAGUUUUUGAGAACUAGAAGUCUCAAUCUAGGGGAUCCUCCGGGAAAUAUGUUUGCUGCUUUUCGAACUGUUAUUAUUACAUGUCAUCAUAUAAAACUGCAAUAAUUUGAUAUUUGACCAUUUCUAAAUCUAACAAGAGUUAUGAAAAUGAUGAGAAUGGCAUAUUGUACCGCCAUUUGGACAUAUUGCAUCGAUAACCCCUAAG